rnacentral:piRNA from 1 species
UAUGUCAAGUAUGGCAAAAGCUCUGGUUC